rnacentral:rRNA from 1 species
AUUGAACGCUGGCGGCAUGCCUUACACAUGCAAGUCGAACGGCAGCACGGGUGCUUGCACCUGGUGGCGAGUGGCGAACGGGUGAGUAAUACAUCGGAACGUACCUUAUCGUGGGGGAUAACGCAGCGAAAGCUGUGCUAAUACCGCAUACGCCCUGAGGGGGAAAGCGGGGGAUCGAAAGACCUCGCGCGACUAGAGCGGCCGAUGCCGGCUUAGCUUGUUGGUGGGGUAAAAGCCCACCAAGGCGACGAUCAGUAGCUGGUCUGAGAGGACGAUCAGCCACACUGGGACUGAGACACGGCCCAGACUCCUACGGGAGGCAGCAGUGGGGAAUUUUGGACAAUGGGGGCAACCCUGAUCCAGCAAUGCCGCGUGAGUGAAGAAGGCCUUCGGGUUGUAAAGCUCUUUUGUCAGGGAAGAAACACCGGCUCUAACACAGUCCGGGAAUGACGGUACCUGAAGAAUAAGCACCGGCUAACUACGUGCCAGCCGCCGCCGUAA